UACGUAGGGUGCGAGCGUUAAUCGGAAUUACUGGGCGUAAAGCGUGCGCAGGCGGUUCGUUAAGUUCGGUGUGAAAGCCCCGGGCUCAACCUGGGAACUGCAUUGGAAACUGGCGAGCUUGAGUGUGGCAGAGGGGGGUGGAAUUCCGCGUGUAGCAGUGAAAUGCGUAGAGAUGCGGAGGAACACCGAUGGCGAAGGCAGCCCCCUGGGCCAACACUGACGCUCAGGCACGAAAGCGUGGGGAGCAAACAGG
rnacentral:rRNA from 1 species